GCUUAAGUGGGCUAGGACCUAUCCAAGUAUUACCAUGAAGGCCACUCUCUGGCUAUGAGCUGAGUGCAGCUUGGCAGUAUGGAAUCCACCAAGGCACCAUCUGCAACGUGGACGUCCUCUGUGGUAUGUGCUCCUCUCGUACAUCUCAGUCUGCAGUCCUGCGACCCUCUCCUUCCCAGUAACGGAGCAGCUAUGCACCCACUGAUUUCAGGAUAGAGAGAAGCCUCUUUCUUGCUCCGAUUGCAUCAGCCAGGUGCACUGCAGCCAGGGGUUUUCCCUUAAAACCUUAAAUCCUGUUCCAGCUAAACACAGCCACCAGCCUCCAAGCUCCUGCCUUUUUUUAUUAGCGUUUUAUUUUGAGGAGGGAGGGAGGAGAGGUGACGAUGAAGUGAACUCUCCAUAUUAAAUUGUUAAAUGCCUGGACGCUACUGGCCCGCUUGUAGGUGCAGCCUUGGGUGUUUACCACAGCACAGAAAUUCUGCUGAUCUGGUUGCUGGGACGCAACACAUGCUGCUCUGGGAGCACAGAGGCCUACGCAAGCGAGAAGUUGAGGCUCUAAGAAGCACUAAAUGUACUGGAAGAGAAGAACAAUCUGGUUGUCUUGUCCAGCACGCGUUUUAUAUGUCAGUGGGCUCCGGUCAGCACUUCUUUUCUGGAGUUCACUGAGACCUUCAGAGAGGCUUCUUGUUGUUCCCAGAGUAUGAGAAAUCAUUGCAUUCUAAAUUUCAGUUACAACUAAAUCCCGGAGAGAAGAGUUUGUAAUGUGGUCCAGACAUUCCAUGCAGCUCUUGUCAGACCGGACUGUUCUGGUGUCUCUUUCAACUAAAACAUCACUAAAAUACUUAUUUUGCAUGCUCUAUGACAGCAUAAUCUCUUAUGAAACAGAUAUCAAAACCGAAACAAGAUGUUUUGAUGUUACUGAAAAACAACACUUUCACUGAUCACAACUGAGCUUUGCCAUUUUUGGAAUUUUCAUUUUACAGAAGAUUAAUAAAAAUGAUCAUGGUUUUCA
rnacentral:lncRNA from 1 species